GAGCGGUAGAGAGAAGCUUGCUUCUCUUGAGAGCGGCGGACGGGUAAGUAAUGCCUAGGAAUCUGCCUGGUAGUGGGGGAUAACGUUCGGAAACGGACGCUAAUACCGCAUACGUCCUACGGGAGAAAGCAGGGGACCCUCGGGCCUUGCGCUAUCAGAUGAGCCUAGGUCGGAUUAGCUAGUUGGUGGGGUAAUGGCUCACCAAGGCGACGAUCCGUAACUGGUCUGAGAGGAUGAUCAGUCACACUGGAACUGAGACACGGUCCAGACUCCUACGGGAGGCAGCAGUGGGGAAUAUUGGACAAUGGGCGAAAGCCUGAUCCAGCCAUGCCGCGUGUGUGAAGAAGGUCUUCGGAUUGUAAAGCACUUUAAGUUGGGAGGAAGGGUUGUAGAUUAAUACUCUGCAAUUUUGACGUUACCGACAGAAUAAGCACCGGCUAACUCUGUG
rnacentral:rRNA from 1 species